rnacentral:rRNA from 1 species
AGCGAACGCUGGCGGCAGGCUUAACACAUGCAAGUCGAGCGGGCACUUUCGGGUGUCAGCGGCGGACGGGUGAGUAACGCGUGGGAACGUGCCCUCUGGUUCGGAAUAACUCAGGGAAACUUGAGCUAAUACCGGAUACGCCCUUUUGGGGAAAGGCUUGCUGCCGGAGGAUCGGCCCGCGUCUGAUUAGCUAGUUGGUGAGGUAACGGCUCACCAAGGCGACGAUCAGUAGCUGGUCUGAGAGGAUGAUCAGCCACACUGGGACUGAGACACGGCCCAGACUCCUACGGGAGGCAGCAGUGGGGAAUAUUGGACAAUGGGCGCAAGCCUGAUCCAGCCAUGCCGCGUGAGUGAUGAAGGCCUUAGGGUUGUAAAGCUCUUUUAUCCGGGAUGAUAAUGACGGUACCGGAGGAAUAAGCCCCGGCUAACUUCGUG